GCUAGACAGCUGCCCACGCUGCGAACUUGGGACCCAGAGUUCUCUGCCCAGAUGUCGGCUGGCGCUCCUCAGGAGAAAUUCAGGUUGCAUCCUUCACUGCUGGAACAAGUCAUUCACACCAGAUCUGUCUCCUUGCACCACCCUGCCACUCUGUGAUGGGACCGCCAACAAGUGAGGGCCCUUUGUCUCACCCCGUGCCUGACCUACUGGAAAUGCAAUGGAACAAUCCUUCACAUGGCAGGAACUCAGUCAAUACCAAUUAUAUGAACAAAGCAAUGAAUCUGUAAGUAUCACUCAUCAUAAUCAUAUUGGUGUUAUGGACUAAUAUUUGUGUCCCCCCCCCAAAUUCGUAUGUUGAAGCCCUAACCCCCAGUGUGAUUGUAUUUGGAAGCAUGGCCUUUGGGGAGUAAUUAGCUUUAAAUGAGAUCAUGACAUUGGGGACCCCAUAAUGUGAUUAGUGUCCUUAUAAGAAGAGGAAGAUACCAGAGCUCUUUCUCUCCACCACACGAGGACACAGCAAGAAGCAACCAUCCACA
rnacentral:lncRNA from 1 species